rnacentral:lncRNA from 1 species
GGGAGAGAUUUUGCUCCUGCCGGGAAGAAGACAAAAGUGAGCAGCAAUUCUGAAGGCCCAGGUCCUGAUGUCCACAUAAAAGCCAUCUCCUGGCCUGAGCGCUGUUGUUCUGAGAACAGACCCGGAGCUGGGCGGACGAGUGCGGGCAACGGGGAUCUGAGUCCAGUGUGGGAAGCGCCAGACCCGGGACUGCGCCCCUAUUCCCCCAGUAGGGGGCGCUGCGGGACAAGAAACAGCCAGGCUCCAGCGCACUCAGGACAGGGGCUCCCCAAAGCCAACGGGGGCUAUUCCCCUAAUCGGUCGAGAUGCAUCUUACCACUUCAGUCACCAACCGUCGGAGCUCACAGCCUCGGCCAGAAGCCGAGUAGAACUUCGCUCCGAAGCGCCUGGGCUUGGGAAUACACCGGGAAGCCAGGAACGAAUGCAACAGGGCGCUCACUCCCCAGGAAGAGGAUUCUAUGGGCUGGUGGAGUAGAAGGGCCUCGCACAUGGGGCGGGGCCCACAGGCUCCCGGCGCUGCGCUCGCGGACCGGAAGCGGAGCGAGAAGGAUUGGACAGAACAACGGCACCGGGACCCCCCCCUGCAGCACCGCGCGGGAGCCCUCGGUAGUGAGGAGCCCGGUGAGUCCGCGCCCUGGCCCAGGCCUCCCCAGCCCGCCCGUGGGGGGGGGGGGGAGCACCAACCAGGCCUGGGGGUGGGACCCAGGAAGGGGAGUCACGGGGACACCGGCAGGGCCCACUGUGGGCGCCUCCCGCGGCGGGCUUGUCACCGGCCGUGCGGGCCCUUGCUGCUGUGACCCUGGGCUUAAAACAGACGAGAUUCUGCAGCCUGGCGUCCCAGGACUUGAGAGGCUGAGGCAGGAGAUCGUUCAAGCUCAAGGCCAGCCUGGGUUACGUAGUUCGAAGCCAGCCAGGACUACAGAGCAAGACCUGGCGCCCUCAGGCUCGGGACAGUUCGGUCUCCACAGACGCCGUGCCUGGGCGGGGCGCGGAUAACAGGGUCAGGCCGGGGCCCCGGGGCUUCCGGCGCCCCUGGAGCUGGACGCGGUAAAGCUGGGAAAGCUGUUACAGCUGCCCCUGUAAAUCCUGAAAAUUAGUCAGUGGCAUCGUGGCGUCCUCAGCUCGUAGGAGGGGGAGAUGGACAAGGUAAAGCCAGUUUCUCCUGCGUGAUUGGCACACUGUACCCAAGCUCUAAGGAAGGGUACAAAAUGGAGCUGGGCUUUGUUCCACUUCCUGUUACCUCCUGGGCAUCUGUCUGUCAGGCCCAAUGCUAGGGGAUGCUAGAGGAUGGACCCAAAGUGAGGGAGGUGGAGGACAGGGCGGGUGCCCUGGGAUCCAGGACCUGGGAAGGUGGGCACAGGUCCCUGCAGAGCCCAUGCACGGACACCCAGCAGAUGGGGAGCUGAGAGUGAGGUCCGGAGGCCCCAGCCAGCACGAGGGCCCAGGGUGCUGGGGUGGCCACCGGUGGGCCUGGGGAUCGCCUGCACCCCGCCCUGGCUGGCCCAACUCUUGCAGGAGGGGAAGGAAGUGUCCGUCCGCGGUUCAUUCUCCCAGCAGGCCCUGGUGACUUCCAGACCCCCUUGCACAUCCUGUCUGUUCUUGACCUUGGCAUGAUCUCGGGGACCACUUCCCCUCUCUCUACCUCAGUUUCCCCUGCUGGCUGGGGCAGUAUUUGGAUGGCAAGGGCUGACCAGCGAUAGAGGGGCAUUGGCCUCUGGGCUCAGGGCCGAUGCUUGUGUUGAAACCCUAAGUCUGGGCUCUGGGAACUGACCUGGGGAAGCUCUGGGCCCCUGACUCAGGCCCCACUCAGGCCGAGCCCUUGCUCUGCCCAUUGCAGGCCCCGCCCCUGGUGCGCUUGCUCCCACCCCCCUAGCUGGCCCUCUGCAGGCUGGGGCUCUCGGUCUCCAAGAAGGAGGUGCCGCCCCCCAAGGCUCCAGCAGCAAAUCAGGGCAUGAGAUGGGGCCCCCUGGUUGCUGUCAAUUCCAAGGUGCAGCUGCCAGGUUAAGAGUUGUCUGGGUCCUGGCCUCAGCCUGACUCACAGCUGGUCUGAACUGACUUGGGGAUGGAGGCAACAGGAGGACGCUUCUGGCUGUGGCUUCUGGCGCUUCGGGGAAUUUUGCAUCAGAAAGUGGGCAGGGCCCUGGGGCAUCCCACUGGGGCUCUCCUUACUUGCUUACACCUUGGACCCCCCUCAAGGGCUCCCAGGCCAGAGAAGCAGAGCUGGGGCUGACAGCCCAGCCUCGUCAUGUCAGGACCAGGUUGCAGGGACAUGGGCUCCAGGGGUCUGGAAGGGCAGGGAGGACCUUGGAGUCGGGUUUUGUAGGAUGAGCAGGAGUUGGAGGGGUGGGGCCUGAUCUCCCAGGUUCUAUCAGCCACUGGCCUGGCCCCCUGUCUCCCUGUCACCUCUCCCCAAGCUGAUCUUCUUUGGUGUCCUUCAGCUGUGACACAUCCCAGAGACAAGGACGGCCAGCAGCCAAGUCCCUCAGCCUAGCAUGGAUCCUGGGGGACUUGGGAACCGGAUGCAAAUGGUUCAACCGAACCCUUUGCCCCUUGGUGUCCCCGGGAGAUACCUCCAGAACCCUCGUGGAUACCAAGGUCCUUCUUCAGAGGAGUGUGGGAUUUGCACUGAACCCAAGCCCGCCCUCCUGGGGCCUUUGCAUCCUUCCUAGGUGACAGAAUUCCCAGGACAACAGAUAUUCUAUGUGUGGAGUUGUUGUGCUAUUUUUAGGGAAUAAGGGCAAGAAAAAAGACUGUACGUGUGGCAGGCUUGGUGGUGCAUGCCUGUAAUCCCAGCAUUCUGGGAGGCUGAGGCAGGAUCGCAAGUUCAAGCCCUGCCUGGGCAACUCUGUGACUUAGUGAGAUCCUGUCUCAAAAUAAAAACCUGCUCUGGCUCCCAGAACCCUGGGCAGUGAUUACGGUCACCUGCAUCUAGAGGGCCUGGUGCCCAGGAGGGCUUGAUGGAUGAGGAGUCCUUCCCACUGCAUCCACAGGGCAGGGUGUUAACACAGCCUUGCGGGGUGUGGGCUUCCAGGUCAGGGGCUGCUGUUGCACACUGAGCAACUGGACAUGGCCCACACACUCAAGCAGGUUCAGGUCUAGCUCAGGUGAGGGGACAUGCUAAGUGCAGGACACACAGGGGCAGUGCAAAGGCCCAGGGGCAGGAGGAGCUGGGUGCGUUCAGGGGGAAAGGAGACCGGAGUGAGGGGAGUUCAGCAGGGUCGCGGCAUGGGAGAGGCCUGGAGUGCGUAAGAUGCUCCUUUGGGUGCUGAGGGGAGGAGGGACACAAGGCACCCGCUGGUCACCUGCUCCAGGCAUCAAGGCGGCAAAUGAGGUCAGAGACAAGGCUGCCCAGGCCUUGAAUGUUGGGAAACCAGGAGCCAGCGGGGCUGGGCCAGGUCCAUGGAGAGUUCCUGGUCACGGGGGUCCAUGUGUCCCGCCUGCAGGUGACCCUGACCCCUACCUUGGAUGGGCAAUGGUGCAAGAGGGGUCCGAGGAGCUGCAGCACCAGGCCCUGGCAGGAUGACCUCUCCCUGCCCAGGUUGGUGCUAGUCCUCCAUGACCCCAGUCACCUCUGUCCUGAGAGUCACCUGCACCCCAAUAAACUGUUCCCAGUGCUCUGCUUGCUCUGUUCUUUCCACCCAUGGGCGACUCGGCUAGGCCUGGGUCUGGGGCCCCUGUGCACCUCCCACCG